GAUCUUAAACGUGUAAACCGUGCGAUCUUCAUCUGAUGACUUAAAAUCGGUGUAUGAGUGAAUGCGUGGAAUGGCGAAAACAGGGAAUUAGAGUCCCUCUUUCUUCUCCCUCCCGCACUGCGCCAUUUUCAAGUACGCUCACUCACUACUCUUCCCAAAACCCUAAAAACCGUCACUUUUUUUUUUUGUUUCCGAUGGCCGGUGGCAUCGACAUGUCCCUCGACGACAUUAUGAAGCGCUCAGCCGCCGCCGUAGCCUCUCGCUGCCGAUUCACGGUUGUUCGCAACCCGGCCAGAACGACGUCGUAUCCCAUUACGCAGAUGAGUUAGGGUUUCGCAAGGCAAAAGAGCAUGGUUGCAUUGCCAGAAAUGGUUUUGGAGGAGUCAGGUGCGGCUAAGAUUGAAAGUGGCACCAAAAUUGAUAGGGUCCCUGAAGGUGAUAAGGAAAAGAAACAGUAAUGUGCCUUGUAUUCUAGAACAAGGAAAACUCCUCAAGAUAAGAAAUGACUGAAAAAUUGCUCUGUGUGUAUUAUUCUUAUUACUAAAUGGUAUUUAAAGGCUAUCCUAGUGCAACUCCAUAACAGAAUUGGUUAGCUAUCAUAGCAGAAAGAUACAGAGCAAUAGCACAAUUAACAGAAUUGAAAUAUCUCCUAACGAAUGAAUUUCCCACGUGCUUGGUUCUUGAAUCUUCUAUGUGUAAUCUGCCAAGUAAGUGGGCUUGCUACGUGUCCUUAUGGGCCUGGUAGGUGAUGUUGGUAUUGCUAUCAAAAAUCUAUUUAUCUAACUUGGAUCAUGGAGUUUCCAACGAUGAUAUCAAGCUGCUGUUCUCGGAGGAAGGUGAAUUGAAAAGGUCAAUCAUUAUGACCAGAGUGGGAGAUCAAAGGGAACAGCAGAAGUUGUGUUCGUGAGGUACCAUGAUGCUUUAGCAGCCAUCAAGAAAUACAACAAUAUGAGGCUUGAUGGAAAGCCAUUGCAAAUUGAGCUUGCUGGAACAAGUUCGGCUACUCCUGCUGUCACGCCUCUUUGUCAAAAUAACUUGAUGGGAAGACCAAAUGAUGUCCAUUUUAGCAUAUGAGGAAGGGUUGGAGGUAUUGGGUUCCGCAAUGCUUUGCUCAGGGCCACCUUCCAAGGGGCCGUGGAGAAGAGAAGGACCAUAUUCGAAAGGUGUCUUCUGGAUAUCUUGAUCAUAGCUUUGAGAGGUUCCACCGCACUCAGACUCAGAGAGGCCACUUAAAAGUAAAUGGCAAUUUUGGAAAGGUGACUGCUAAAGAUCUUGAUGAUGACUUGGAGAGGUAUCACUUAGAGGCUCUAAGCGGAUUAAAAAGCAAAAUGGAAAGUGAGAUAACCACUGAUAGCUUUAAUGACUCAUUCUGAGUAAAUAGGACAAAAAAUCAUUGUUUUAUAUAACAUAAUGGUAAUAUGUCUGGGAUUUCUGAUUUCGAAUUUUUCUUGCAAAAUAUUAACUCUGCUGUAUAUACAAGUUUGCUAUUUGGACAUUUAUCUUUCAAAACUUAAACGGACGUAGAGUUAGUUACGGGUCA